rnacentral:RNase_P_RNA from 1 species
GAAGCGCGCCGGACCGCCGCUGGUGCAAGUGCCGAAAGGCCGCACUGGAGGAACGUCCGGACUGCACAGGACAGCGCAGGAGCUAACGGCUCUCCACCGCGAGGUGAGGAUCAGAGCAACAGAGACGAGUCCCGAGGGCGCAAGUUCUCGGGGGUGAAACGGGCAAUCUCUGCGCGCAGCAACACCAAGUAGGCCAGUAUCGAGGUGGUUCCGCUGAGCUGGCGGGUAGGUGGCAUCGAGCCGUCCGGGCGACCGGCGGCCCAGAGUAAUGGCGGUCACGCCGGGGGAAACCCCGGUGCACAGAAUCCGGCGUACAGGCGCGCUUCACAC